rnacentral:rRNA from 1 species
UGAGGAAUUUUCUGCAAUGGGCGAAAGCCUGACAGAGCAAUACCGCGUGAGGGAAGAAGGCUUACUGAGUUGUAAACCUCUGUUACCUAAGGAGGAAGAUCUGACGUUACUUAGGAGACGAAGCAUCGGCUAACUCCGUGCCAGCAGCCGCGGUAAGACGGAGGAUGCAAGUGUUAUCCGGAAUCACUGGGCGUAAAGCGUCUGCAGGUGGUUUCUUAAGUCCACUGUUAAACCUUGAGGCUCAACCUCAAUUCAGCAUUGGAAACUGGGAAACUUGAGUAUAGUAGGGGUAGAGGGAAUUUCCAGUGGAGCGGUGAAAUGCGUAGAUAUUGGAAAGAACACCGAUGGCGAAGGCACUCUACUGGGCUAUUACUGACACUCAGAGACGAAAGCUAGGGGAGCAAAUGGG